ACACCGUUGGUGAAGUGGUUAUCAUGCUUGCCUUCCAUGUGUGCGAUGGCCUCCGCAUGUGAGCAAGCGGCUCGGGUUCGAUUCCCGAACGGUGUA